rnacentral:rRNA from 1 species
AACUUAAGCAUAUCAAUAAGCGGAGGAAAAGAAACCAACAGGGAUUACCUCAGUAACGGCGAGUGAAGCGGUAACAGCUCAAAUUUGAAAUCUGGCAGCAAUGUCCGAGUUGUAAUUUGUAGAGGAUGUUUCGAGCAUGGUCUGGCCUAAGUUCCUUGGAACAGGACGUCAUAGAGGGUGAGAAUCCCGUAUGCGGUCAGGUGCCUACGCUCAUGUGAAACUCCUUCGACGAGUCGAGUUGUUUGGGAAUGCAGCUCAAAAUGGGUGGUAAAUUUCAUCUAAAGCUAAAUAUUGGCCAGAGACCGAUAGCGCACAAGUAGAGUGAUCGAAAGAUGAAAAGCACUUUGGAAAGAGAGUUAAACAGUACGUGAAAUUGUUGAAAGGGAAGCGCUUGCAACCAGACUUGCACGCAGCUGAUCAUCCGCUGUUCUCAGUGGUGCACUCGGUUGCGUUCAGGCCAGCAUCGGUUUUGGUGGUGGGAUAAAGGCCUUA